CCCUUAGAUGUUCUGGGCUGCACGCGCGCUACACUGAAGCGUUCAACGAGUAUUCACCUUGCCCGGGAGGGUUGGGUAAUCUUUUGAAAACGCUUCGUGAUGGGGAUAGAUUAUUGCAAUUAUUAAUCUUCAACGAGGAAUUCCUAGUAAGCGCAAGUCAUCAGCUUGCGUUGAUUACGUCCCUGCCCUUUGUACACACCGCCCGUCGCUCCUACCGAUUGAAUGGUCCGGUGAAGCGCUCGGACCGCGGCCUCUUGACGGUUCGCUGUCGAUUGGCUGUGGGAAGUUCGUUAAACCUUAUCAUUUAGAGGAAGGAGAAGUCGUAACA
rnacentral:rRNA from 1 species